UACGUAGAGGGCGAGCGUUGUCCGGAGUUACUGGGCGUAAAGCGCACGCAGGCGGUCUGCGAAGUUUGGAGUGACAGUUGGUGGCUCAACCACCAAAGUGCUUUGAAAACUGACAGACUUGAGGGCUUCAGAGGGACACGGAAUUCCGGGUGGAGUGGUGAAAUGCGUAGAGAUCCGGAGGAACACCAAAGGCGAAGGCAGUGUCCUGGGGAGUACCUGACGCUCAGGUGCGAAAGCCAGGGGAGCGAACGGG
rnacentral:rRNA from 1 species